AAAUAGCUCAGUUGGGUAGAACGUCAAGCUGAUAACCGUGAGAACACAAGUUCGAAUCUUGUCAGGUCC
rnacentral:tRNA from 1 species